rnacentral:rRNA from 1 species
UGAGGAACAUGACCUUCGGCGGGGGAUAGCCGGCCCAACGGCCGGGUAAUACCGCGUACGACCUUUUGGGGACAUCCCCGAUUGGUGAAAGCAGCAAUGCGCCGAAAGAGUGCCUCGCGGCCUAUCAGCUAGUUGGUGUGGGUAACGGCCCACCAAGGCGACGACGGGUAGCCGGCCUGAGAGGGUGACCGGCCACACUGGGACUGAGACACGGCCCAGACUCCUACGGGAGGCAG